rnacentral:rRNA from 1 species
UACGUCAGCGGCAGACGGGUGAGUAACGCGUGGGAACGUACCUUUUGGUUCGGAACAACACAGGGAAACUUGUGCUAAUACCGGAUAAGCCCUUACGGGGAAAGAUUUAUCGCCGAAAGAUUGGCCCGCGUCUGAUUAGCUAGUUGGUGAGGUAAUGGCUCACCAAGGCGACGAUCAGUAGCUGGUCUGAGAGGAUGAUCAGCCACAUUGGGACUGAGACACGGCCCAA